CAGCAGCCGCGGGAAUACAGAGGGUGCGAGCGUUAAUCGGAUUUACUGGGCGUAAAGCGUGCGUAGGCGGCUUUUUAAGUCGGAUGUGAAAUCCCUGAGCUUAACUUAGGAAUUGCAUUCGAUACUGGGAAGCUAGAGUAUGGGAGAGGAUGGUAGAAUUCCAGGUGUAGCGGUGAAAUGCGUAGAGAUCUGGAGGAAUACCGAUGGCGAAGGCAGCCAUCUGGCCUAAUACUGACGCUGAGGUACGAAAGCAUGGGGAGCAAACAGGAUUAGAUACCCCUGUAGUCCCUGUCUCUUAUAC
rnacentral:rRNA from 1 species